AUAAAUGAGUUAUCCUGCCAUGAGAUUACCGAAUUGGCUAGCAAAACAAAAUAUGUGACAGUUUGCCUUCAUCAUUCAUUAUAUGAAAUAUGAUAACAAGGCAGAAGUUCUCUAAGAAAACAACAAGCAUAUCUCUAAACAAUUGUUUUUUUUCUUUGCAGCCAAAUACAAGUAUUGCUAUUGCAAAAAGGAAAGGUCAAAGGACGAAGAAGACGAAAUGAUUGUUUGCGAAAACAGAAAAAGAAAAACAAGAAAGUGUCCAGGAAACAAUUAUUACCACAUGGUCUGUUUGAAACUUAAAGUUGUACCAGACACCGAUCUUGGUUCUGUCCCAGCUGCCGAGUAACUAACAGCAAGUGAUCAGUAACUGGCAGAUAUGUACAUAAUUUAAUUGAACGUUUAGUAAAACUUCAUUUUGGAAUACUAA